rnacentral:rRNA from 1 species
UACGAAGGGGGCUAGCGUUGCUCGGAAUCACUGGGCGUAAAGCGCACGUAGGCGGAUCUUUAAGUCAGGGGUGAAAUCCUGGAGCUCAACUCCAGAACUGCCUUUGAUACUGGGGAUCUCGAGUCCGGAAGAGGUGAGUGGAACUCCGAGUGUAGAGGUGAAAUUCGUAGAUAUUCGCAAGAACACCAGUGGCGAAGGCGGCUCACUGGCCCGAUACUGACGCUGAGGCACGAAAGCGUGGGGAGCAAACAGGA